GCUCCUGAAAGAGCAGGGGUGAGAGGUGGAGAGAGGUGUGAGGAGCUGUGGCAGAGCCCCAGGGUGUCCCUCUGAGCAGGACAGGGACACCCUGAUGCAGUGACAUGAGACUCCCAAGUAUUAUGGCUUUGAUCUGGCCCCUGUCCCUUUUACUGUGGGAAAAAGUACAAACGGAAUUAAAGCGGAACAACGGCGCUGUGAUUGAUACUCUGAGGUGUUGUCAAAAUUAAAUCUUUAUUUUGGAUACUCACCUCCUGAAGUUCCCUGGUUCUCCUUAGGAAUUUGGUGACUUUCAUCAUCCCAAGCAAAGAACCUACUCCAAAACUAUUAUUUUAUCUCCUGGAAAAUUAAUCAGUGUCUUCUAUCAGCUCCUACAAGCUCCAUCUGUCAUGUCUCCAGUAGCCCUCCAGAAAACAUUGGAAAACACAUCUACACAUUUCCUUCAAAAGUCAAAGCUAACGGUUGAUUAAAAAAAGGGAAAAAAGGAGAGUUUGCAGACAAAGAACAUCUUUGUUUGUUGACAGCAAUAAAAUGUAACUUGUCACCAGAGCUGAUAUGUUAUAUUAAUGCUUCUUCUGUGAAAACAUUGGGCUGGGUGUUAUAAAUAUUGAUGGGAGCACAAUGGGUUGGGAAGUGUGUGACAGAUGGAAACUUUUUCAGGUGAACAUAAAAUUGUCUUCAGCGUUUCUCCAACUUGAAACUCAAAUAUCCCCUUUUAAUUGUAAGCCAUUAUUAGGUUUAUCACCAGAAAUGACGUUUGCUGCUGAUGCAGGAGAUAAAGAAGGGGAAAAUCUCCUCACCUGCCACUGCUGCCAACAUCCCUGAGGAACCAAACUGAGGGCAAGAUCUCCAAAUGGGCUGGAGCAGUAAUGUCUGUUUUUGCCAGGGAGCAAGGAACCAAUUGCAAUUCCUCAUUAAAAAUCACUUCUGCUUAAUUCCUGCAACUCCAGUUGUGGACACUGAAUAUCAACCCUAAGCCUUGAUAGUUGGCUUCUCCUGAACAUCCCUAAUCCGUGAGGUGCUGAUCAGCGAUGGCUGAGUUUGCAAGCAAUGAGAGCCCUUGUUAGGAAUGGUUUUCGUCAUCUCCCAGCACAAUGAAGAGAUUGCUGCCACACAAUGCACUCAUCACUCGGCAUUGUCCUUUCCCAGCAAAGAACCCAUCUGAAGAUGUUCUCUUGUUUUUCUGAUUGUGGAAUGUCUGAGACCAGAACAGAAUGGUACCAGAUUGGUUUGAUCACAGCUCUUACACCUGCAGAUUUCAGAAGGAUUCUGCCUUUCUCGAAGAGCUCUGCAACUCUUUUACUACAGCAAGCCCCUGUCCAGGAAGUCUAACAGAGCCUCAUUCAUUGAAUCACAAGGUUUUUGCCCAAGGAGCUCCCUGCAGCCCUGUCUGAGCCCCUGGGUCCUUCAGAGAGGUGCUGGGAGCCCAUUCCUGCAGGAAACACCGAGCCACAUCUGUCUGGGCUCCACAAGAAGCUGCCUGGUGCUUGUCACAGCUGUGCUUCACCCAGUGUCCUGCCUGGCCACCACCCUCCUCUGCCAUUCGGUACCAGCCCAAGUGCUGGGGAACACAGAAGCCCUGAGUGUCUCUAAACUCUCUCUGCAAAGUCAGGGAGAGGUCAGAACUGCCAUCCAAAAAUAACUUUGUGCUGAGCUUUAAUCAAUGAACUUCACAAGAUUUGCUGAUCCAGACUGUAAAAUACAAUUUUAGCUCCGUGUCUGUGGUGCAGCUUCCUGUGACACGGAUCAACAGGGAAACCCCCACUGCAGCUCCAGCAGAAGGUCCAUAAAUAGCCAAGCCCACUAACAAGUAUUUUAUUAGUGCUCCAUAGCAACACAGAGGUGGUUUUGCUGCUCCUACAAGUCACAGUGCUGCACGAGGAGGCAACAGUUUGCUUUCUCUGUCUGUCAUCCAUGAGGGCAAAGAAGACAAGGGAGCCAAAGGAAGAGAAUCCCCAUCACUACUGGAGCAGCUGCUUUCCUGCCCUGAGGCUCCACUGCAGCAUUCUGGUACCUUUUUACCACACAGCCUCUUGGACAAAGCACUCCAGGAUGCUACAGUCAUUUUAACAGCCUGUGCAAUGCUUGGGAAGGUGUGGCUAAACAGUGACCAGAGACAGGCCUUAAAAUGACAAAUCUCCCUACUCCUAGGGAAGGAAGGCACAACUCUUUCUCUCUCUCUCCAAGGCAAAGACUUCAAUCAGCUUUUUGUCCCUCCUGGUUCAUGGGAUCCAUCCUUGGUCAGGGACAGCGUCACCUCCAGCCAUCAUUCUGGAGGUGCCAUUCAUCUGGCUGUGCCAGGCCUGACUGCAAGUUUUCCCUUUUCCAGGGAUGUCCCAAGGGAAAUUCCCACCUGCCCUGUGCCCGCUGAACAGAGAAUUGCUCAGGAGCCUCUCAGCAAGCUUUGCUCCCUGUUUUCUGGGCAGUGUAAAUGACCUGGAGCACACUAAAGCCCUCAGCAGCCAGGGCACUGAUGCCAGCAGGGAGGAAAUGCCCACACGUUCAGCACCAACACUUCAGGAGGAAAUAGCUGAGGAGAGCUGAGCCAACACCCUGCUGAAGAGUUCCACACGUGUUUCUUCCCCCUCAGCUCCUGCAUCUCCUGUACUCAGCAGAUGUUAAGGUCAGGUGAUCAAUUAUGAAAAAUAAAAAUUCAAAUAUUUACAUUAUAAUUCUAAGUGCUGUGAGGGCCUCAGCACCUAACUGUAAAAUAAAAAUGAAUCCUAAACGAAAAAAGGCAGCCCAGUGCUGUUCCUGCCAUGUCAGACCCACCAAGUGCCGGGGCUUUGCCAUGGGAAGCAUGUCCUGGAAUACCUCAGCAGAAAUAUCCCAUUGACACAAACAAAGGCAGCACCCCACUGGCUCCAAGGCAGAGCUGACAUAUGGUAGAUUUUGCCUCAUCUGUGAGUCAUUUUACUGCCUGUUUGUGCCUAGCUGUUCUUUUU